CAUGAAUAAGCAUCGGCUAACUCCGUGCCAGCAGCCGCGGUAAUACGGAGGAUGCAGGCGUUAUCCGGAUUUAUUAGGUUUAAAGGGUGUUCAGGCUGUCUGGUAAGUCAGAGGUGACAGUCGGUUGCUUAACGAUCGAAUUGCCUUUGAAACUGUCAGACUUGAGUAUGGAUGCGGUAGGCGGAAUGUGUAGUGUAGCGGUGAAAUGCAUAGAUAUUACACAGAACACCGAUUGCGAAAGCAGCUUACCAAACCAGCACUGACGCUGAAGCACGAAAGCGUGGGUAGCGAACAGGAUUAGAUACCCUGGUAGUCCACGCAGUAAACGAUGCUCACUCGCUGUUGGCAAUAGAUCGUCAGCGGCUAAGGGAAACCGAUAAGUGAGCCACCUGGGGAGUACGAUCGCAAGAUUGAAACUCAAAGGAAUUGACGGGGGCCCGCACAAGCGGUGGAACAUGUGGUUUAAUUCGAUGAUACGCGAGGAACCUUACCUGGGCUUAAAUGUACGAUGCAUAAGUGUGAAAGCACUUUUUCCUUCGGGACUUUGUACAAGGUGCUGCAUGGUUGUCGUCAGCUCGUGCCGUGAGGUGUCGGGUUAAGUCCCAUAACGAGCGCAACCCCUAUUGUUAGUUACCAGCGCGUAAAGGCGGGGACUCUAGCGAAACUGCCGGUGUAAACCGCGAGGAAGGUGGGGAUGACGUCAAAUCAGCACGGCCCUUAUGUCCAGGGCUACACACGUGUUACAAUGGCCGGUACAGCGGGCAGCGAGGCAGCGAUGCCGAGCGAAUCUCGAAAGCCGGUCCCAGUUCGGAUUGGAGUCUGCAACCCGACUCCAUGAAGGUGGAAUCGCUAGUAAUCGCGCAUCAGCCAUGGCGCGGUGAAUACGUUCCCGGGCCUUGUACACACCGCCCGUCAAGCCAUGGAAGUCUGGGGUGCCUGAAGGCCGUAACCGCGAGGA
rnacentral:rRNA from 1 species